UUCCACUCCGCUUAUCUGCGGGGAAGCUUCGGCUCCUUCGCCGCCGACAUGAGGAAAAUGAUCAACGCGCCGGAGAUGAGUGAUGUAAAAUUCAUUGUCGGAGAGGAGCAGAAAGUGGUGUAUGCUCACCGCUGCAUCUUAGCGUAUCGCUGUGAGGCGUUUAGAACCAUGUUUGCCCAGCGAGUUCUGUCACAUGAUGCCAAAGAAGCCGAAGUUCCAUUUGUUCUUUCAGAUGUGCAGCCAGAUGUCUUCCUGGCUGUGGUUGAGUUUCUCUACACAAACUGUGUGAUGCUGAGCCGCGAUAUAGCUCUGGAUGUACUUACAUCAGCAGUGGAAUAUGGCCUGGAUGAGCUUCAAAGGAUGUGCGUGGACUAUAUCAAUAGUACCCUGACAGUAGAAUCGGCCUGUGAAGCAUUGCAGGCUGCAGUGACAUACAGACAGACCAACAUGAAAGACAAAUGCCUAGCUUUCAUUGAAGGACACACCAAAAGUAUUGUGAAGACCCGAGGCUUCCAUGAACUUUCUGACCUUGCCUUGCUUGCUAUUCUGCAGAGCGACAUGCUGACUAUCGAUGAACCGGAUUUAAUUAACUUUGUCAGAGAAUGGGCUCAUGUUAACUCAGUAGUUCUGGACAAACCGGUACCUGAAAUAGCAAAGGACGUUAUCUGUGAACUGCGGCUUUUCCUGUUGAGCCCUGAAGAAUUGACAAUUCUAGAAGCUGAAAACAAGAAAGAUAACCUCAUUCCUAAGGAGAGUGCGAAAACAGAAUGUGGCUCAUGAGGACAAAUGCUGAUGGAAUACAAUAUACAGUGAGAUUUUGUCAGACCUAUUAAAUUAUGGGGGUCAAAUGAGAUAUCUUCCAAUACAUGGGCACAUGGAUCCUGAUGCAUGAUGAAUCUGCUCCCACUGAAUGAAAUACAGCAGCAAGCUCACUUUGUACUAUCUGCUCACUACAAUGAAUUCUGCAUUCAUCCAGCCCUCCCCGUGCUGAUCGCAUUCACAGAUGGCACAAUAUUGUUAGUAACCUACGUUGACUGCACUUCGUAUUGGGAAAGCUGCAUUGUUGCUGGAGCACCUGCUGGGAGUUUUUAAAUAAGUGAAUUGACCAGGGAAAAAAUUAGGAAUGGUUGACAAUGGAAGCGAAUGAGCACAUUGUUUCCAGAAGCUGCACUGGAAGUCAUGGAGGGGGAAGUGGAAAAUUGCAGCGAUGUCCCAUAUCCUCAAGGGGGUGGGGAAUAAUCUCCAGACACAGUGAAAACAGAUCAUCAUGGAACAGGAAUAUAGCCCCAAGAACGUGGAUGCAAUGCCUUAAGAAUUUAGAUAAUUUCACAUGACUUGUCAAGAUCAGCAAAUACAUUUUCAAAUGUUAUAUCCUGUCUACUGCACCAUUAGCCACAGCCACUUCUCAAUUCACCAUACACCCAUCAAUCAGCUACCACAAGUUUCUAUCAGCCAGAACUUAUA